rnacentral:rRNA from 1 species
CCUACGUGAGGCAGCAGUGGGGAAUAUUGCACAAUGGGGGAAACCCUGAUGCAGCGACGCCGCGUGAGUGAAGAAGUAAUUCGUUAUGUAAAGCUCUAUCAGCAGGGAAGAAAAUGACGAUACCUGAGUAAGAAGCCCCGGCUAACUACGUGCCAGCAGCCGCGGUAAUACGUAGGGGGCAAGCGUUAUCCGGAUUUACUGGGUGUAAUGGGAGCGUAGACGGCAGUGCAAGUCUGGAGUGAAAGGCGGGGGCUCAACCCCCGGACUGCUCUGGAAACUGUACGGCUGGAGUGCAGGAGAGGUAAGUGGAAUUCCUAGGGUAGCGGUGAAAUGCGUAGAUAUUAGGAGGAACACCAGUGGCGAAGGCGGCUUACUGGACUGUAACUGACGUUGAGGCUCGAAAGCGUGGGGAGCAAACAGGAUUAGAUACCCCUGUAGUC